rnacentral:rRNA from 1 species
UUCGGCGCGAAUUGCCCUUGAGUUUGAUCCUGGCUCAGAGUGAACGCUGGCGGCAGGCCUAACACAUGCAAGUCGAGCGGCAGCGCGGGGGCAACCCUGGCGGCGAGCGGCGGACGGGUGAGGAAUGCAUCGGAAUCUACCUCGUUGUGGGGGAUAACCUCGGGAAACCGGGACUAAUACCGCAUACGACCUACGGGUGAAAGUGGGGGACCUUCGGGCCUCACGCGAUGAGAUGAGCCGAUGCCGGAUUAGCUAGUUGGCGGGGUAAAGGCCCACCAAGGCGACGAUCCGUAGCUGGUCUGAGAGGAUGAUCAGCCACACUGGAACUGAGACACGGUCCAGACUCCUACGGGAGGCAGCAGUGGGGAAUAUUGGACAAUGGGCGCAAGCCUGAUCCAGCCAUGCCGCGUGUGUGAAGAAGGCCUUCGGGUUGUAAAGCACUUUUGUUGGGGAAGAAACCGGCCGGAUUAAUACUUCGGCUGAAUGACGGUACCCAAAGAAUAAGCACCGGCUAACUUCGUGCCAGCAGCCGCGGUAAUACGAAGGGUGCAAGCGUUACUCGGAAUUACUGGGCGUAAAGCGUGCGCAGGCGGAUUGUUAAGCAAGAUGUGAAAUCCCCGGGCUUAACCUGGGAAUGGCAUUUUGAACUGGCAGUCUAGAGUGCGUCAGAGGGGGGUGGAAUUCCACGUGUAGCAGUGAAAUGCGUAGAGAUGUGGAGGAACACCGAUGGCGAAGGCAGCCCCCUNGGGAUGACACUGACGCUCAUGUACGAAAGCGUGGGUAGCAAACAGGAUUAGAUACCCUGGUAGUCCACGCCCUAAACGAUGUCAACUGGUUGUUGGGGGAGUGAAAUCCCUUAGUAACGAAGCUAACGCGUGAAGUUGACCGCCUGGGGAGUACGGUCGCAAGAUUAAAACUCAAAGGAAUUGACGGGGACCCGCACAAGCGGUGGAUGAUGUGGAUUAAUUCGAUGCAACGCGAAAAACCUUACCUACCCUUGACAUGUCCGGAAUCCUGCAGAGAUGCGGGAGUGCCCGAAAGGGAAUCGGAACACAGGUGCUGCAUGGCUGUCGUCAGCUCGUGUCGUGAGAUGUUGGGUUAAGUCCCGCAACGAGCGCAACCCUUGUCAUUAGUUGCUACGAAAGGGCACUCUAAUGAGACUGCCGGUGACAAACCGGAGGAAGGUGGGGAUGACGUCAAGUCCUCAUGGCCCUUAUAGGUGGGGCUACACACGUCAUACAAUGGCCGGUACAAAGGGCAGCCAACCCGCGAGGGGGAGCCAAUCCCAUAAAGCCGGUCGUAGUCCGGAUCGCAGUCUGCAACUCGACUGCGUGAAGUCGGAAUCGCUAGUAAUCGUGGAUCAGCAUGUCACGGUGAAUACGUUCCCGGGUCUUGUACACACCGCCCGUCACACCAUGGGAGCGGGUCUCGCCAGAAGUAGGUAGCCUAACCGCAAGGAGGGCGCUUACCACGGCGGGGUUCGUGACUGGGGUGAAGUCGUAANCAAGGUACCNAGGGCGAAUUCNUAACUC